rnacentral:rRNA from 1 species
GUCGUUAGUCGGAUACGAGUGCACCUUACCUUAUUUGCCAGCGAUUCGGUCGGGAACUAUAAGGGGACUGCCGGUGAUAAACCGGAGGAAGGUGAGGACGACGUCAAGUCAUCAUGGCCCUUACGAGUAGGGCUACACACGUGCUACAAUGGGGAAUACAAACGGACGCUAAGCCGCGAGGUGGUGCUAAUCCUAGAAAGUUCUUCGUAGUCCGGAUUGGAGUCUGCAACUCGACUCCAUGAAGUCGGAAUCGCUAGUAAUCGCGGAUCAGCAUGCCGCGGUGAAUACGUUCUCGGGUCUUGUACACACCGCCCGUCACACCAUGGAAGUGGAUUGCACCAGAAGUAGAUAGUCUAACCUUAGGGAGGGCGUUUACCACGGUGUGCUUCAUGACUGGGGUGAAGUCGUAACAAGGUAGCCGUAGGGGAACCUGUGGCUGGAUCACCUCCUU